rnacentral:rRNA from 1 species
UGCAAGUCGGACGGUAGCACAGAGGAGCUUGCUCCUUGGGUGACGAGUGGCGGACGGGUGAGUAGUGUCUGGGGAUCUGCCCGAUAGAGGGGGAUAACCAGUGGAAACGGUGGCUAAUACCGCAUAACGUCGCAAGACCAAAGAGGGGGACCUUCGGGCCUCUCACUAUCGGAUGAACCCAGAUGGGAUUAUCUAGUAGGCGGGGUAGUGGCCCACCUAGGCGACGAUCCCUAUCUGGUCUGAGAGGAUGACCACCCACACUGGAACUGAGACACGGCCCACACUCCUACGGGAGGCAGCAGUGGGGAAUAUUGCACAGUGGGCGCAAGCCUGAUGCACCCGUGCCGCGUGUAUGAAGAAGGCCUUCGGGUUGUAAAGUACUUUCAGCGGAGAGGAAGGAGAUGCGGUUAAUAACCGCGUCGAGUGACGUUACCCGCAGAAGAACACCGGCUAUCUCCGUGCCAGCAGCCGCGGUAAUACAGAGGGUGCAAGCGUUAAUCGGAAUUACUGGGCGUAGAGCGCACGCAGGCGGUCUGUUAAGUCAUAUGUGAAAUCCCCGGGCUUACCCUGGGAACUGCAUUUGAUCUGGCGGCUUGAGUCUUGUAGAGGGGGGUAGAAUUCCAGGUGUAGCGGAGAAUGCGUAGAGAUCUGGAAGAAUAGCGGUGGCGAGGCGGCCUCUGGACAAGACUGACGCUCAGGUGCAAAGCGUGGGGAGCAA